AUUGAACGCUGGCGGCAUGCCUUACACAUGCAAGUCGAACGGUAACAGGGAGCUUGCUCCGCUGACGAGUGGCGAACGGGUGAGUAAAGUAUCGGAACGUACCUUUCAGUGGGGGAUAACGUAGCGAAAGUUACGCUAAUACCGCAUAUUCUGUGAGCAGGAAAGCAGGGGAUCGCAAGACCUUGCGCUGAUUGAGCGGCCGAUAUCAGAUUAGCUAGUUGGUGAGGUAAAGGCUCACCAAGGCGACGAUCUGUAGCGGGUCUGAGAGGAUGAUCCGCCACACUGGAACUGAGACACGGUCCAGACUCCUACGGGAGGCAGCAGUGGGGAAUUUUGGACAAUGGGGGAAACCCUGAUCCAGCCAUGCCGCGUGAGUGACGAAGGCCUUAGGGUUGUAAAGCUCUUUCAGUGGGGAAGAUAAUGACUGUACCCACAGAAGAAGCCCCGGCUAACUCCGUG
rnacentral:rRNA from 1 species